GCACGGGUGCGUAACACGUAUGCAACCUACCCUAUACAGGCGAAUAACCUUUAGAAAUGAGGGCUAAUACGCCGUAGUAUUACAGAUGGGCAUCUAUUUGUAAUUAAAGAUUUAUCGGUAUAGGAUGGGCAUGCGUCCCAUUAGUUAGUUGGUAAGGUAACGGCUUACCAAGACGAUGAUGGGUAGGGGAUCUGAGAGGACUUACCCCCACACUGGUACUGAGACACGGACCAGACUCCUACGGGAGGCAGCAGUAAGGAAUGUUGGGCAAUGGCUGCGAGGCUGACCCAGCCAUGCCGCGUGCAGGAAGACGGCCUUAUGGGUUGUAAACUGCUUUUAUACGGGAAUAAUAGAGUGUACGCGUACAUUUAUGCAAGUAUCGUAUGAAUAAGCAUCGGCUAACUCCGUGCCAGCAGCCGCGGUAAUACGGAGGAUGCGAGCGUUAUCCGGAUUUAUUGGGUUUAAAGGGUGCGCAGGCGGAUUUAUAAGUCAGUGGUGAGACACUCCGGCUCAACUGGGGGACUGCCAUUGAUACUGU
rnacentral:rRNA from 1 species